GAAUAUUCAUCAUGUAUGCUUUUCUAAUUAUAAGGGGGGUGGGGGAUGAAGAGGAAACUUUUCGAGCCACACACCGGAAUUUACUUUGAGGAAAUUAAAGUGUUCAUAGCAAAUAAGUGUUUGAAUACUACAGCAUGGAAUAACAAAUAGGACUUUGGUAUUGUUUUGUUGGAGUAGAGAAACCAAAGUAAAGAUGAAUAGGGACAGUUGGGGGGCAUUGGAAUUGAUAGUCAGAGGUGAAAUUCAUGGAUUUAUCAAAGACCAACAAAGGCGAAAGCAUUUGCCAAGGAUGUUUUCAUUGAUCAAGAACGAAAGUCAGGGGAUCGAAGACGAUUAGAUACCGUCGUAGUCUUGACCGUAAACGAUGCCGACUUGGGGGAGGUGCGAGAUGAGAAGCGCAUCACAACCAAAGGAGAAAUCAAAGUGUAUGGGUUCUGGGGGGAGUAUAGUCGCAAGGCCGAAACUUGAAGGAAUUGACGGAAGGGCACCACCAGGAGUGGAGCCUGCGGCUUAAUUUGACUCAACACGGGAAAACUUACCAGGUCCGGACAUGAUGAGGAUUGACAGAUUGAGAGCACUUUUAAGAUUUCAUGGGAGGUGGUGCAUGGCCGUUCUUAGUUGGUGGAGUGAUUUGUCAGGUUAAUUCCGAUAACGAGCGAGACCCUGUGAUGACGGUAAUGAUUGAGUAUGUAAAUACGCGAGACGUUUCUUCAUCGACACCCCA
rnacentral:rRNA from 1 species